CCAUAUUUAUCAUUGGAUUUCAUACUGGACUAUACAAUCUAUCCAUUCACCUUUCCUCUUCUCAUUAUGCGAUAAUUUUCAUCCAGUUUUACUACCUAGAGCGCACAGUUGGUACCGAUACACGCACAGUGAUCUGGAGCAUGGGAUCGGUUCACAUACACCGACAGCUCAACGAAAUAUGAUGGUUGACAGGACCUGUGGUCGGUUCAAACACACCGACAGGACAAAUAUGCCAAGAUGUCUAUCCUAUCUAGGAGACUUGCGUGUGCUCAUAAAUAAGGGAUGCCCACUCCUCUCCCUUUUUUUCUUUAUGCCUCUGUGUGGAUACCUGUUGCCAAGGACAACGACAGACGGAACAGGUCCCCCCACUCUCUUUUUUUCCCUAUGGGGAUUUCACAUUCUCUUCCUCACAACAACACCCACGAAUGGUGAAUAGACUUACCAAUUACUCACCUCAGAAAAAGCCCCGCAUGGAUACGCUCAUCGCUCACUACCUCUGAAGCUGCUGAGUAGUCCCAGUUGCAAGGUCGCCAAGGUACGGACGCACUGGUUGCCAAGGACGCGACUCACAGUACGCAUGAGCAGCUCAUUCUCUACAUUCCACAGGCCCAUUACGCAUGCGCUAAUGACGGAGAGAGGUUUCCAUGGUAGCAAUGACGUCAUUUAGACGCCGCUACCUCCUCUCAACCCGGAAGCGUUGCUAACAGCCGCGAAUCUCUUCAGUAUCACGCUGGAUCGGCGUCUCUGCAACACAGGCAUCAUGGCGAGGAAACCGGAAGCAUUUCACGUCUACACGCCCCUGCAUGUAUACUUAUGUUAUUUUCACACUUUAUAUGAUCAGUAUCUAAUCUCUGAUCACUGUAUUACAUGUAUAUACACUUUGAUACUUUAUACGUUAUGUAAUGUUCAAGAUAUUCACUGUGAUUUUGUAUGCACCUGGUUUACUUAUGUAAAUUGUUUUGCUAAUUAUGUCACAUGACCGAAUGGGAGGUCUAUUUAUACCCACCUAUGUCACUAUCAGUUACUUGAGAAAGCCAGUGAGAGACUGGUGAAACGUUGUCUUUGCACAUGCUGGAAUAAACACCACCUUAUGCAUUA